rnacentral:lncRNA from 1 species
GUCUGUGAGAAUUUACUAUUCUUCACCCAACCCCCUACCACCACACCCUCACUUUCCAUACACACACACACACACACACUCACGCCCUUUACCUGCUGGAGUGUAUGUGCACACCCGACACAAGCACACCAACCAAUCACAGCCUGGGACAAAGACAACCAAGAGAUAUACUUCCUGUUUUACUGCUUGACAGAAGACUUGCUCUGAGGCAGAAGGAAAGCAAGAAAGGAAGAGAGCGCAAUUUGGGAGCAACUCUGACUAAACAACGUCUAGUCAAAUAUAGAUGGGGGCUGACACUUAGAAAGUAGAUUUUGGAGUGAGAUGGGCUCUUCUGGGAAGUGACAGUUGCGAGAGAGAAGGAGAGGAGGAGUAAGAUAAGAGUCUGUUCAGACUUGUUUGGGAAUUUGCAGCGGGAAGGGGGAGGAACACACACUGGCAGGCCGAGAGUGGGGGUAAGGUUUUCUGGGGAUCCCAGUCACAGGAGAAGGAAUUGGACUGGACUUCUGAUCAUUGUGUACAUGUGACCCAGCUCUUGGAGUGUGGACGGACAUGCGGAAUGUGUGAGUGUUGUGCAACUGUGUGAAGGGGGUGGAGAGACGGAGCUCCAGUGGGCCCGCUCAGGUUAGUGAAAAUUAUGCAGCCAUGGAAACCAGACAAUAUUCAGACAAAGCUGGACAACGAACAUAUCGUGACAUCAGCCCCCGGCCCAAUCCACGUUCAGGAGAGCAGAGAAGAGCAAAAGCAGGUGACGUACUGAAAGACAGGACACGUGACAGAAGAAAGGAAAUGGGACGGGACGAGAGGGGCUUACACAGAGAGGGGGAGGCUCACACCUUGUCAGUGUCCAACAAGAGGGCGUAUCUUGACCUAGACAACUUGGAAGCCAUGGAGGCUGAUCAGCCAGUAUCUCAGGGGGAGGCUGGUCAGCAUUGUCAUGCCCACGAAAACGGCUCAGCAAAGACGCCUUCUGCAGAACAUGAGGAGAAAGAUACAGAUGGCCACGUGAGGGAGGAGAUUGAACACUCAUCGGAGAAAGCCAUAUCUGAACAUAACAAGGACUUUGAGGCAGCCCUGGACACCAGAUCUGCUGCAGAAGAGGGGCAUCAUGGGAACAUUGUUAACAAGGAGACAGAAGAAAGUCCAGAAGAAGGGACAGAGUGUCAGGGGGAGUGUGAGGAGACUAAGAGAGAGGAAGAAGGGAGAGAACGCCAUGAAAGCUUUGAAGUUGAGGACACAUGGACAACAGCAGAGGAACCUAAACGACACUCCCAGGCUCUGCAUGUCAAGUGGGCCCAGAAUAUCCUAUGUGACAUAAUGGGCUCCCCAGAGGCUGAGGGUCCAGCACACAGUUUCAAGAACACAGAGGAACUGAUUGAAGGAGUGGUGCAUGCAGGGAGCCCUGCACACACAAGACAGACUGGUGGUAAUAUAGAUAAUGGGGCAGAGCCAAGCAGACAGGCAGAGGUGAGCAUUUUUAUACAGGCAGAGUGUGAAGAAGAGGAGGUGGAGAACAUGGGGAGGCAGGGGGACAGGGAGACAGAGGGAUCAGAGCAGAGCAGCCACACCGAGUCAGAAAUGGAGGCAGAGCCCAUCUCACCACCCUUAGGCCUGUCAGAUGAGGAGUCUGUGAAGAAGGGGGCAGAGAAGGGCACAAAAGAGGUAAAGAAAGAUGGACACCUGCUGCACAGCACCAAAAGCUUCUCCGAGGUGGGUAAUAGCCCAACCUUCAGGAGGAAGGGCUUCCGAAAAACUCUGGAGAAGAACAAAGAGGAGCAUGAGGAAGGACUAGGCAGGGAUCGACGGACCAGAGUAUUUCACUCAUCAGAAGAUGAAGACGACCCCUUGAGCUACACCUGGGGUGAGAUGGAUCUGAAGAGCUCAGCAAGUGCAAUUGGCAUAAUAAGGAAGAGGAAUUCGAAAUACUUCAACUCCCAGCUGUAUCAGCAGUACAGUGAGGUUGUACAGAACAGGGAGCUCUUGCGACAGACAGAAACCUUGUACAGUUAUGAUGACUCUGGGACCACACCCACCCCCAGCCCUGCACAGAGGCCCCUCCCCCCAGUUCCAAGCAAGCCUUACCCGUAUACAAUCAACAAAUCAGCCAGUCACCCACUCUGUGGCAGCAUCUACCAGGCGUGA